GCCUCCACUAGUUCUAAUAGGGUCAAUACCUGUUUGGCACGUUUCUUCAGAUGAACAUUUUGAAAAUAAAAUGAGGUAACAUGUAGAUUUGAGACCGGGAUGGGAUUAAGAUGUACUCUUACAAAUUUUUAGCUCUUUACAAUUUCACUGGAGAAUGAAUCAAACAGUUUAAAUUCUUAUUUUUUUUAAACGGGAACAUAAAAGAUUUCUGAAAAAAAUAGCCCAGUUCAAACAGAAGCCUACACUUCUCAGAAUUAAACACAAGAGGGCACCAUAAGCCCAUGGCAAGGAGUCUGAAGGCCUAGGAAUUUCCAUUGAUUUUAACGCUUAGAUUUCUGUGCCACUCUGUUUCACUGAUGUUCUCCGUAUAAGGGUUAACAUGGAACUGCUUAUCACGGGAUUGCCAGCUUGACUCCUGGUCCAGUUCUGGUCUCAUGCAUUAAUUCUGCACUACCCAGACAAGGAGUCCAUGUCAUGAAAUGAGCUAUACCUCUGGAGUCAGAUCUGCUUUGGUGUGAGGCCCUACUGAUUUCUCAGCUUUUUAACCUUGGAGAAAUGACUUAGCCUGCCCUUUGU
rnacentral:lncRNA from 12 species